UCAUUCGCAUAUUGAAUGAUUUCUAAAGCGCGUGUCGCAUUAUUAGUCAGAGAGAAGCACGUAAGUAGACGUGUUGAAAUUCAGACGACUGCAAAAAAGAAAAUUCAUUAUUUUGUUCGUAUUGGCAUAUUGGAUAGUAUUUGGAAUAUCAGAAUCGUCAGAAUCCUUGGGAACCACGGACCUGAAAUGCGGAUCCAACUCCUCACCGAACACAUAACGAGCGGGAGUGAAAACAAGUCAUCGACAACCAAUGGAGAAGUGGACGGCUAUAAAUAUUAUUGUGCACGAAAUCACCGUAGAUGCAAAGCUAAGGGUGAAGUUUCCAAUAGUUUUAAUAUGGUCGAGUCAUAAGUUGUAUAAAUGGGGCGAUUUUAAACCGUGCUUGGCAAUACUUAUCAAAAACCAAUAUUUAUAAUCUAAUAUAUUUAAAUAAAUGAGAUAAUACAUUGAUCUGUA